GAAAAACAAAUUUGUUUUUAUGUCCUCUUCUCCCUUUCCACGUUUCAGCAUAGACUUAACUCCCUUAAGCCCAGACAUCUGUUGAGACCUGACCCCUAGUCAUUGGUUACCAGUGUGUCAGGCAAUCUGGACUUUCCAGUGAUGCCACUGAGAUGGCACCUGUCAAAAGAGCAGUGGUUCCAUUUCUAGAUUGUGGAUCUUCAGAUAAAUUCUGCCAUUUUCGUUUCACUUCCUGAAAGUCAGGGUUGGCUUGUGAAAAGUUGUUAAACAACAUGCUAAAUGUGAAAUGUCAACCCUCACUCUCAACUUUCCCUGUUCAGAGCAUCAGAUGAAGACUUCAUUGGGUUUUAUAGUGGCUUUCUGAUUUUUGGUAGUCCAUUGAAGAAGGGAGUUUGAAAGUUGUUGUAUACUGUUAACGAUUGUCUGCCCAUGUCCUGCCUGAAAUACCAUGAUUGUUUAUGGAAAGUAUCUUUAAUAAAGCUGGAUACAGUUUGGCUUGGAAAAAAAAAAAA
rnacentral:lncRNA from 1 species